AUUGAACGCUGGCGGCAUGCCUUACACAUGCAAGCCGAACGGCAGCAUGAUCUAGCUUGCUAGAUUGAUGGCGAGUGGCGAACGGGUGAGUAAUACAUCGGAACGUGCCCUGUAGUGGGGGAUAACUAGUCGAAAGAUUAGCUAAUACCGCAUACGACCUGAGGGUGAAAGUGGGGGACCGCAAGGCCUCAUGCUAUAGGAGCGGCCGAUGUCUGAUUAGCUAGUUGGUGAGGUAAAGGCUCACCAAGGCGACGAUCAGUAGCUGGUCUGAGAGGACGAUCAGCCACACUGGGACUGAGACACGGCCCAGACUCCUACGGGAGGCAGCAGUGGGGAAUUUUGGACAAUGGGCGAAAGCCUGAUCCAGCAAUGCCGCGUGUGUGAAGAAGGCCUUCGGGUUGUAAAGCACUUUUGUCCGGAAAGAAAUGGCUCUGGUUAAUACCUGGGGUCGAUGACGGUACCGGAAGAAUAAGGACCGGCUAACUACGUG
rnacentral:rRNA from 1 species